GGUUAAGUUAGAAAGGGCGCACGGUGGAUGCCUUGACACUAGGAGUCGAUGAAGGACGGGACUAACACCGAUAUGCUUCGGGGAGCUGUAAGUAAGCUUUGAUCCGGAGAUUUCCGAAUGGGGAAACCCACCAUACGUAAUGGUAUGGUAUCCUUACCUGAAUACAUAGGGUAAGGAGGACAGACCCAGGGAACUGAAACAUCUAAGUACCUGGAGGAAGAGAAAGCAAAUGCGAUUUCCUGAGUAGCGGCGAGCGAAACGGAACAUAGCCCAAACCAAGAGGCUUGCCUCUUGGGGUUGUAGGACAUUCUAUACGGAGUUACAAAGGAACGAGGUAGACGAAGCAGUCUGGAAAGGCUCGUCAUAGAAGGUAACAACCCUGUAGUUGAAACUUCGUUCCCUCUUGAAUGAAUCCUGAGUACGGCGGAACACGUGAAAUUCCGUCGGAAUCUGGGAGGACCAUCUCCCAAGGCUAAAUACUCCCUAGUGAUCGAUAGUGAACCAGUACCGUGAGGGAAAGGUGAAAAGCACCCCGGGAGGGGAGUGAAAGAGAUCCUGAAACCGUGUGCCUACAAAUAGUCAGAGCCCGUUAACGGGUGAUGGCGUGCCUUUUGUAGAAUGAACCGGCGAGUUACGAUCCCGUGCGAGGUUAAGCUGAAGAGGCGGAGCCGUAGCGAAAGCGAGUCUGAAUAGGGCGUUUAGUACGUGGUCGUAGACCCGAAACCAGGUGAUCUACCCAUGUCCAGGGUGAAGUUCAGGUAACACUGAAUGGAGGCCCGAACCCACGCACGUUGAAAAGUGCGGGGAUGAGGUGUGGGUAGCGGAGAAAUUCCAAUCGAACCUGGAGAUAGCUGGUUCUCCCCGAAAUAGCUUUAGGGCUAGCCUCAAGUGUAAGAGUCUUGGAGGUAGAGCACUGAUUGGACUAGGGGUCCUCAUCGGAUUACCGAAUUCAGUCAAACUCCGAAUGCCAAUGACUUAUCCUUGGGAGUCAGACUGCGAGUGAUAAGAUCCGUAGUCAAAAGGGAAACAGCCCAGACCGCCAGCUAAGGUCCCAAAGUGUGUAUUAAGUGGAAAAGGAUGUGGAGUUGCUUAGACAACUAGGAUGUUGGCUUAGAAGCAGCCACCAUUUAAAGAGUGCGUAAUAGCUCACUAGUCGAGUGACUCUGCGCCGAAAAUGUACCGGGGCUAAAUACACCACCGAAGCUGCGGAUUGAUACCUUUGGUAUCAGUGGUAGGGGAGCGUUCUAAGGACAGUGAAGUCAGACCGGAAGGACUGGUGGAGUGCUUAGAAGUGAGAAUGCCGGUAUGAGUAGCGAAAGACGGGUGAGAAUCCCGUCCACCGAAUGCCUAAGGUUUCCUGAGGAAGGCUCGUCCGCUCAGGGUUAGUCAGGACCUAAGCCGAGGCCGACAGGCGUAGGCGAUGGACAACAGGUUGAUAUUCCUGUACCACCUCUUUAUCGUUUGAGCAAUGGAGGGACGCAGAAGGAUAGAAGAAGCGUGCGAUUGGUUGUGCACGUCCAAGCAGUUAGGCUGGUAAGUAGGCAAAUCCGCUUACCGC
rnacentral:rRNA from 1 species